rnacentral:rRNA from 1 species
UACGGAGGGUGCAAGCGUUGCUCGGAAUUAUUGGGCGUAAAGGGUAGGUAAGUGGUCUCAUUUGUCUGGGGUGAAAGCCUUGAGCUUAACUCAAGAAGUGCCCCAGAAACGGUGAGACUAGAGUCCUGGAGAGGGUCGUGGAAUUCCCGGUGUAGCGGUGAAAUGCGUAGAGAUCGGGAGGAACACCAGAGGCGAAGGCGGCGACCUGGACAGGUACUGACACUCAACUACGAAAGCGUGGGGAGCAA